AAUACUUGUACAUUGUAAUAGUUGAGUUUUACGAUGAAUAAAAUUAUAUUUCAUAUUUUUUCCCUCUCUCCAUUGGCAUUCUAAACUCAACAUCCUCUCUUACGUUCUUUUUUUUUUAUCUUUUAUGUUACUAUUUUCUCUUCCAAUUACAUUUUUAUCGCACCUUUCUUCUCAAUUCCGUAUCUCUUAUGUUCUUUUUUUUAUCUUCUCUAAUCUGUUGUAUUUAAUAUUUUUUCCCUCUCUCCAUUGCAAUUCUAAACUCAACAUCCUCUUUUUUUUUUUUUUUAUCUUUUAUGUUACUAUUUUCUCUUCCAAUUACAUUUUUAUCGCACCUUUCU
rnacentral:lncRNA from 1 species